AGCUUGCUCUUUCCGGAAUUGAGUGGCAAACGGGUGAGUAACACGUAAACAACCUGCCUUCAGGAUGGGGACAACAGACGGAAACGACUGCUAAUACCGAAUACGCUCAUGAUGAACGUUGUGAGGAAAGGUGGCCUCUACCUGUAAGCUAUCGCCUGAAGAGGGGUUUGCGUCUGAUUAGCUGGUUGGAGGGGUAACGGCCCACCAAGGCGACGAUCAGUAGCCGGUCUGAGAGGAUGAACGGCCACACUGGAACUGAGACACGGUCCAGACUCC
rnacentral:rRNA from 1 species